rnacentral:rRNA from 1 species
UACGAAGGGGGCUAGCGUUGUUCGGAAUUACUGGGCGUAAAGCGCACGUAGGCGGACAUUUAAGUCAGGGGUGAAAUCCUGGAGCUCAACUCCAGAACUGCCUUGAUACUGGGGAGCUCGAGUCCGGAAGAGGUGAGUGGAACUCCGAGUGUAGAGGUGAAAUCGUAGAUAUUCGGAAGAACACCAGUGGCGAAGGCGGCUCACUCGGUGCCCGGUAACUGACGCUGAGGCGCGAAAGCCAGGGGAGCGAACGGGG